rnacentral:rRNA from 1 species
CCUACGGGAGGCUGCAGUGAGGAAUAUUGGUCAAUGGGCUUACGCCUGAACCAGCCAAGUCGCGUGAGGGAAGACUGCCCUAUGGGUUGUAAACCUCUUUUGUCAGGGAGCAACGCCGGCUACGUGUAGCCGGACUGAGAGUACCUGAAGAAAAAGCAUCGGCUAACUCCGUGCCAGCAGCCGCGGUAAUACGGAGGAUGCGAGCGUUAUCCGGAUUUAUUGGGUUUAAAGGGUGCGUAGGCGGAAUGCCAAGUCAGCGGUAAAAUCGCGGGGCUCAACCUGGAGACUGCACUUGAAACUGGGUGUCUUGAGGGCAGGAGAGGAAAGUGGAAUUCCUAGUGUAGCGGUGAAAUGCGUAGAUAUUAGGAGGAACACCAGUGGCGAAGGCGACUUUCUGGACUGUACCUGACGCUGAGGCGCGAAAGCGUGGGUAGCGAACGGGAUUAGAUACCCUAGUAGUC